rnacentral:lncRNA from 1 species
CGUCCUUCCUCAAGAAGGAACCUCUGCCUGGCCUUCAGCAGGGCCACUGUCAUGUGCGAUAUUCACUUAGAGCCUUAUCACAUUUGUGGCUGUAGAGGUGUUUGCGUGCCUUGUUUAAUUUAUCCCACUAGACUGCCUUUCGAACGGAGCCCGGGGAGGACAGGCUGGCAGAGGAGGGAGGAGGGUUUCUAGCUGAGAGAGACUGCGGCUGUGGGCCUGCAGCCUACCCCUCUUCAAGCUCUCCGGAGCCGUUCCUGCGAAACCAGCCCCCACAAGUGGCUGAUGCUCCUGUCCCUCUUCUGGCCUGAUUGCUCCCUCUCCUGACCCCUAAGCGUAGUUACCUACUCAGGACUAAAACAAAACAAUCCAGAAAGAAUGCUUUCUAAGAAUAAAGAAAAACAAAACAAACGCCUGAUGAAGAUCAAAGUCUCUACAUGGCAUGGAAGGACCCUAACCACCUUGCAUGAACCUGCAAAGGAUUUGAUGCUAGUGACAUCUGAUGAGCUCUAGGGCCAUGGGUAAAUCCCUGAAUCACAGGGAGCACCAUCUGUAAAGCAGUGAUAAUGAUACAUUUUUUCAUUUGUAAAGUGAUGAUUUAAAAAAAUAUCCUACCUCAUGGUAUCUUCAUGAAAAUGAAACAAGAUAAUGAAUGAAAAACACACUUGUUUGUCCAGUGCUUGGUAUAUAGUAGGCAUUUAAUUAUAUGUGCGUGAGUGUGCAUGUGUGUGUUUCAUGAAUUACCGCUCCCCAUCUUGCAUCACCAAAUACGUCUCAUAUCAUCCCUGCAUUUUUAUGCCAAUAUUUCUUUAACCUCAAAGCCCUUUCCUCCUUCUCUUUGGCUUGGCAAACUCUUACAAGUUUGAGCUCAAAUACCAUCUUUUCAUGGAGACUUUUCUGACUCCUUCAAUCAAGGGGGGUCAGUGCUUCCUCUGGGUGCCUCUCUGGUGGCAAUUAUCUGACUCUAUUGCAAUGACUUGCUUACAAAGUCAUCCCCUUCAUUGAGGUUCUUUUUCAUUUUGAAAUCUGCAAGGUCUGGCAUGGUGUUUAC